UACGGAGGGGGCUAGCGUUGUUCGGAAUUACUGGGCGUAAAGCGCGCGUAGGCGGACCUGCAAGUCGGGGGUGAAAGCCCGAGGCUCAACCUCGGAACUGCCUUCGAUACUGCGGGUCUCGAGUCCGGGAGAGGUGAGUGGAAUUCCUAGUGUAGAGGUGAAAUUCAUAGAUAUUAGGAAGAACACCAGUGGACGAAGGCGGCUUCCUGGCCUGUUCUUGACGCUGAGGCGCGAAAGCUAGGGGAGCAAACGGG
rnacentral:rRNA from 1 species